UCCCAGUUCGGAUUGCAGGCUGCAACCCGCCUGCAUGAAGUUGGAAUCGCUAGUAAUCGCGGAUCAGCAUGCCGCGGUGAAUACGUUCCCGGGCCUUGUACACACCGCCCGUCACACCAUGAGAGUCGGGGGUACCUGAAGUACGUAACCGCAAGGAGCGUCCUAGGGUAAAACUGGUGACUGGGGCUAAGUCGUAACAAGGUAAC
rnacentral:rRNA from 1 species